GGUUAAGCGACUAAGCGUACACGGUGGAUGCCCUGGCAGUCAGAGGCGAUGAAGGACGUGCUAAUCUGCGAAAAGCGUCGGUAAGGUGAUAUGAACCGUUAUAACCGGCGAUGUCCGAAUGGGGAAACCCAGUGUGAUUCGUCACACUAUCGUUAACUGAAUACAUAGGUUAACGAGGCGAACCGGGGGAACUGAAACAUCUAAGUACCCCGAGGAAAAGAAAUCAACCGAGAUUCCCCCAGUAGCGGCGAGCGAACGGGGAGCAGCCCAGAGUCUGAAUCAGCUUGUGUGUUAGUGGAACGGUCUGGAAAGUCCGACGGUACAGGGUGAUAGUCCCGUACACCAAAAUGCACAGGCUGUGAACUCGAAGAGUAGGGCGGGACACGUGGUAUCCUGUCUGAAUAUGGGGGGACCAUCCUCCAAGGCUAAAUACUCCUGACUGACCGAUAGUGAACCAGUACCGUGAGGGAAAGGCGAAAAGAACCCCGGCGAGGGGAGUGAAAAAGAACCUGAAACCGUGUACGUACAAGCAGUGGGAGCACCUUCGGGUGUGACUGCGUACCUUUUGUAUAAUGGGUCAGCGACUUAUAUUCUGUAGCAAGGUUAACCGUAUAGGGGAGCCGCAGGGAAACCGAGUCUUAACUGGGCGUUAAGUUGCAGGGUAUAGACCCGAAACCCGGUGAUCUAGCCAUGGGCAGGUUGAAGGUUGGGUAACACUAACUGGAGGACCGAACCGACUAAUGUUGAAAAAUUAGCGGAUGACUUGUGGCUGGGGGUGAAAGGCCAAUCAAACCGGGAGAUAGCUGGUUCUCCCCGAAAGCUAUUUAGGUAGCGCCUCGUGAAUUCAUCUUCGGGGGUAGAGCACUGUUUCGGCUAGGGGGUCAUCCCGACUUACCAACCCGAUGCAAACUACGAAUACCGAAGAAUGUUAUCACGGGAGACACACGGCGGGUGCUAACGUCCGUCGUGAAGAGGGAAACAACCCAGACCGCCAGCUAAGGUCCCAAAGUCAUGGUUAAGUGGGAAACGAUGUGGGAAGGCACAGACAGCCAGGAUGUUGGCUUAGAAGCAGCCAUCAUUUAAAGAAAGCGUAAUAGCUCACUGGUCGAGUCGGCCUGCGCGGAAGAUGUAACGGGGCUAAACCAUGCACCGAAGCUGCGGCAGCGACACUAUGUGUUGUUGGGUAGGGGAGCGUUCUGUAAGCCUGCGAAGGUGUGCUGUGAGGCAUGCUGGAGGUAUCAGAAGUGCGAAUGCUGACAUAAGUAACGAUAAAGCGGGUGAAAAGCCCGCUCGCCGGAAGACCAAGGGUUCCUGUCCAACGUUAAUCGGGGCAGGGUGAGUCGACCCCUAAGGCGAGGCCGAAAGGCGUAGUCGAUGGGAAACAGGUUAAUAUUCCUGUACUUGGUGUUACUGCGAAGGGGGGACGGAGAAGGCUAUGUUAGCCGGGCGACGGUUGUCCCGGUUUAAGCAUGUAGGCUGAUUAUCCAGGCAAAUCCGGAUAAUCAAGGCUGAGGUGUGAUGACGAGGCACUACGGUGCUGAAGUAACAAAUGCCCUGCUUCCAGGAAAAGCCUCUAAGCAUCAGGUAACAUCAAAUCGUACCCCAAACCGACACAGGUGGUCAGGUAGAGAAUACCAAGGCGCUUGAGAGAACUCGGGUGAAGGAACUAGGCAAAAUGGUGCCGUAACUUCGGGAGAAGGCACGCUGGUGUGUAGGUGAAGUCCCUGCGGAUGGAGCUGAGACCAGUCGAAGAUACCAGCUGGCUGCAACUGUUUAUUAAAAACACAGCACUGUGCAAACACGAAAGUGGACGUAUACGGUGUGACGCCUGCCCGGUGCCGGAAGGUUAAUUGAUGGGGUUAUCCGUAAGGAGAAGCUCUUGAUCGAAGCCCCGGUAAACGGCGGCCGUAACUAUAACGGUCCUAAGGUAGCGAAAUUCCUUGUCGGGUAAGUUCCGACCUGCACGAAUGGCGUAAUGAUGGCCAGGCUGUCUCCACCCGAGACUCAGUGAAAUUGAACUCGCUGUGAAGAUGCAGUGUACCCGCGGCAAGACGGAAAGACCCCGUGAACCUUUACUAUAGCUUGACACUGAACAUUGAGCCUUGAUGUGUAGGAUAGGUGGGAGGCUUUGAAGCGUGGACGCCAGUCUGCGUGGAGCCAACCUUGAAAUACCACCCUUUAAUGUUUGAUGUUCUAACGUUGGCCCCUUACCGGGGUUGCGGACAGUGUCUGGUGGGUAGUUUGACUGGGGCGGUCUCCUCCCAAAGCGUAACGGAGGAGCACGAAGGUUAGCUAAUCCUGGUCGGACAUCAGGAGGUUAGUGCAAUGGCAUAAGCUAGCUUGACUGCGAGCGUGACGGCGCGAGCAGGUGCGAAAGCAGGUCAUAGUGAUCCGGUGGUUCUGAAUGGAAGGGCCAUCGCUCAACGGAUAAAAGGUACUCCGGGGAUAACAGGCUGAUACCGCCCAAGAGUUCAUAUCGACGGCGGUGUUUGGCACCUCGAUGUCGGCUCAUCACAUCCUGGGGCUGAAGUAGGUCCCAAGGGUAUGGCUGUUCGCCAUUUAAAGUGGUACGCGAGCUGGGUUUAGAACGUCGUGAGACAGUUCGGUCCCUAUCUGCCGUGGGCGCUGGAGAAUUGAGGGGGGCUGCUCCUAGUACGAGAGGACCGGAGUGGACGCAUCACUGGUGUUCGGGUUGUCAUGCCAAUGGCACUGCCCGGUAGCUAAAUGCGGAAGAGAUAAGUGCUGAAAGCAUCUAAGCACGAAACUUGCCCCGAGAUGAGUUCUCCCUGAGACUUUAAGUCUCCUGAAGGAACGUUAAAGACGAUGACGUUGAUAGGCCGGGUGUGUAAGCGCAGCGAUGCGUUGAGCUAACCGGUACUAAUGAACCGUGAGGCUUAACCUU
rnacentral:rRNA from 1 species